CGGAGCAUAGCAUAUAUAAUGCUUUUUAUUUACACUAAAAAUAAAGUUAAACGACUUGCUUCGC
rnacentral:tRNA from 1 species